GCCUGGUUAGCUCAAUCGGUAGAGCGUGAGACUCUUAGGUUUCACUUUCUCAGAAAGCGAUUGAUCCAAUCUCAAGGUUGCGGGGUAAGUUCACCUCAGUACACGAUGCA